rnacentral:pre_miRNA from 1 species
GGAUGCAUUGCUGGGCAAUUACACCUUUGGCAGUCUGUCUGGUGGUGAUUAAAUUGCAUGUUAAAUCGAGAAAUUAGAGAGAAGAACAUGUAUGCAUGGAAUGGAAGUAUUUAGCUGACGACUGCCAAAGGUGAUUUGCCCGGCAAUUCAGCU